UUUCUAUCUGACAUUUAUUCCCCAGCUGCAGACGAAGUCGGAAAAAUACAUCUAAUUGCAGAUGAAAGGAUAAAUGGAGCAGUAUUUGAUCUUCCGGAGGAAAUAGCAAAAGAGUUGCUGAAUAAGGAACUGCCAGAAGGAAAUACUAUUUUGAAGGUCACGAAGUUACCUCCUCUACAAGACGAUGGCCCACCAAGUGACAACUACGGAAGAUUUUCUGGCAGAGAAAGAAAUAGCCGAAAUAGCUCUAGGGAUCGCAGAGGUUAUAGAACAUCAAGGGGCUGGGGCAGCAGUCGAGACUCUGAUGACGAUGGUGAUUUAUUUGGUAGAAAUCGCAGUUUUAGAACUAACAGCAGCAGGGGUCGGAACUUUAAAAGUUCAGGAGAUGAUUGGCUAAUUGGAGGCAGACGAUCAAGCAGGUCAUCGUCCGUUGAUAGAUUUGGAGGCUCCUGUUUUAAUUGCGGAAGGAUGGGGCACAGAGCAUCAGAAUGCCCUGACAAGUGAUAAGCAAGACGACUAAAUAUACUUGAUCAGCUUAGUUAUUGUAGGUUUUUGGAUUCAG
rnacentral:misc_RNA from 1 species